rnacentral:tRNA from 1 species
GGGUCUGCAACUCAGAGGUAGAGUGCCUGCUUGACGCAGGAUGUCGGAAGUUCAAUUCUUCCCAGACCCACUA